rnacentral:rRNA from 1 species
GAUGAACGCUAGCUACAGGCUUAACACAUGCAAGUCGAGGGGAAACGACAUCGGAAGCUUGCUUUUGAUGGGCGUCGACCGGCGCACGGGUGAGUAACGCGUAUCCAACCUGCCCACCACUUGGGGAUAACCUUGCGAAAGUAAGACUAAUACCCAAUGACGUCUCUAGAAGACAUCUGAAAGGGAUUAAAGAUUUAUCGGUGAUGGAUGGGGAUGCGUCUGAUUAGCUUGUUGGCGGGUAACGGCCCACCAAGGCGACGAUCAGUAGGGGUUCUGAGAGGAAGGUCCCCCCACAUUGGAACUGAGACACGGUCCAAACUCCUACGGGAGGCAGCAGUGAGGAAUAUUGGUCAAUGGGCGAGAGCCUGAACCAGCCAAGUAGCGUGCAGGAUGACGGCCCUAUGGGUUGUAAACUGCUUUUAUAAGGGAAUAAAGUGAGUCUCGUGAGACUUUUUGCAUGUACCUUAUGAAUAAGACCGGCUAAUUCCGUGCCAGCAGCCGCG